ACGGUGUGAGUAAUAUAUAGAUAACGUACCUCUUAGUCUGGGAUAGCCAUUGGAAACGAUGAUUAAUACUAGAUACUCCUUCUGAUUAUAAGUUCAGUCGGGAAAGUUUUUCGCUAAGAGAUCGGUCUAUAUCCCAUCAGUUAGUUGGUAGGGUAAUGGCCUACCAAGGCAAUGACGGGUAGCGGGUUUGAGAGGAUGAUCCGCCACACUGGUACUGAGACACGGACCAGACUCCUACGGGAGGCAGCAGUGAGGAAUAUUGCACAAUGGGCGAAAGCCUGAUGCAGCAACGCCGCGUGGAGGAUGACGCAUUUCGGUGUGUAAACUCCUUUUAUAUGUCAAGAAAAUGACGGUAGCAUAUGAAUAAGCACCGGCUAACUCCGUGCCAGCAGCCGCGGUAAUACGGAGGGUGCAAGCGUUAUUCGGAAUCACUGGGCGUAAAGGACGCGUAGGCGGGAAGCCAAGUCCGAUGUGAAAUCCUAUGGCUUAACCAUAGAACUGCAUUGGAAACUGGUUACCUAGAGUAUGGGAGGGGGAGAUGGAAUUAGUGGUGUAGGGGUAAAAUCCGUAGAUAUCACUAGGAAUACCGAAAGCGAAGGCGAUCUCCUGGAACAAUACUGACGCUAAGGCGUGAAAGCGUGGGGAGCAAACGGGAUUAGAUACCCCGGUAGUCCACGCCCUAAACGAUGAACACUAGUCGUCGGGAUGCUAGUCAUCUCGGUGAUGCACUUAACAGAUUAAGUGUUCCGCCUGGGGAGUACGGUCGCAAGAUUAAAACUCAAAGGAAUAGACGGGGACCCGCACAAGUGGUGGAUCAUGUGGUUUAAUUCGAAGAUACGCGAAGAACCUUACCUAGCCUUGACAUUGAUAGAACACCGUAGAGAUACAGUGGUGCCCUUCGGGGAACUUGAAAACAGGUGCUGCACGGCUGUCGUCAGCUCGUGUCGUGAGAUGUUGGGUUAAGUCCCGCAACGAGCGCAACCCUCGUCUUUAGUUGCCAGCAGGUUAAGCUGGGCACUCUAAAGAGACUGCCUACGCAAGUAGGAGGAAGGUGAGGACGACGUCAAGUCAUCAUGGCCCUUAUGGCUAGGGCUACACACGUGCUACAAUGGGGCGUACAGAGAGUUGCGAUACCGCGAGGUGGAGCCAAUCUCAUAAAGCGUCUCUCAGUUCGGAUUGAAGUCUGCAACUCGA
rnacentral:rRNA from 1 species